rnacentral:tRNA from 1 species
AGGAACUUUAGUAUAAUGGUAAUUACGUAUGACUUUUAAUCAUUACGAUGUAGGUUCGAAUCUUGCAAGUUCUA